AGUGACCAUGGUAACAUUUUGGGCUGAGAAAAUGCCUUUGUUAAAGGUAGCCCCAAAAGAGCCAGCAGUUAGGUUGAAGUGUUCAUUGUAGUGAGCCUGUGGCAUGAAGGUCCUCCCCAGUAAACAUCAGCCUGCAAACAGAAUCACUAGUGCUUAGCAACAGUGUCAUAGUGCCACUGGAAUGGUGGUAGAAGGAUCUCUUCACCCCUAGACUACCACGGCAGAUUGGAACCCAGGAAUCCGCAGAGAAAACAUAAGAUUUCUAUCUAGAAAAAGGGAGCAAAAGAGAAAGGAAGGGAGUGGAUAGGGCAGGACUGUGUACUUCAGGGGCCUGCAGUCUCUGCACCAGGACACCAGGAGACCUGACUCAGAGAAGAGACUAGAAACCAACAGAAAGAAACUAAACAGCUGUCUGAUACAUAUACAGAUACACACUUGUACAUGUGUAUCCCAAUUUAAAGCUAUACAGAAAAUUAACUGAGGAACGGACUAUGGGGUCGUUGAUCUUCCUUCUCAUCAAACUUGCAUCCCACCAACUUCGGGCCUGCUGCAGCUAAUUAUUCUUGAUACAUUUGUUCACAUUACAGGUGUCAACAAUUUUGGCAUUGCAGAAGACCAUGGAGACAACUUUUUUAUUUCUCCAUCACACAAGGACUGAAGAUACAAAAAUGAGUUUUUCUUUCCUAUGGCCUUGGACUAGCUAUAUACGAUAGUAAUUAGCAAGCAGGCUCUGAAUUACACGAGCCCCUCCCACUGACUCUUGUACUUUUUAGCUAUAAGAACCUAAGCACGAACUUCGCAGAGCUCCAGUGCUUCUGUUUUGAAAAGAGAUAAUAUUUCCUAUGGGAUAGGGUUGUCUGGGGGUACUAAAUGAGAACUACAUACAAAGUACUUAAUGGAAGGUAUGUAGGACUCAAUAGAGGUAGCUAUUAAAUUGUAUGUAAGUAACAAAUCCUGAUAAUGUUCAAUUCUGAAUAAAACUUAGCAAGGUAGUUUUA
rnacentral:lncRNA from 1 species